rnacentral:rRNA from 1 species
UACGUAGGGUGCGAGCGUUAAUCGGAAUUACUGGGCGUAAAGUGUGCGCAGGCGGCCGCGCAAGUCGAGUGUGAAAUCCCCGAGCUUAACUUGGGAAUUGCGCUCGAAACUACGUGGCUGGAGUGUGGCAGAGGAAGGUGGAAUUCCACGUGUAGCGGUGAAAUGCGUAGAGAUGUGGAGGAACGCCGAUGGCGAAGACAGGCUUCUGGGACAACACUGACGCUCAUGCACGAAAGCGUGGGGAGCAAACAGG